rnacentral:rRNA from 1 species
AGAAUCAACGCUGGCGGCGUGCCUAACACAUGCAAGUCGCACGAGAAAGGGGAGCAAUCCCUGAGUACAGUGGCGCACGGGUGAGUAACACGUGAAUCAUCUACCUCCGAGUGGGGAAUAACUGAGAGAAAUCUUAGCUAAUACCGCAUAACACUUACGAGUCAAAGCAGCAAUGCGCUUGGAGAGGAGUUCGCGGCAGAUUAGUUAGUUGGCGGGGUAAUGGCCCCACCAAGACGAUGAUCUGUA